rnacentral:lncRNA from 1 species
UUAUCGGUCCUCACGGGGGAACUUUAUCACUCUUGAUAUACUCAGCAUCGUAUAUACAUCCCCCGCGAUCGUAAGAGGGGAACCAGUGUGGCACGAGCCUUCGCUUAGGAUUGUCCUAUAUUUAAAUAAAAUCAAACUUCGCACGUAUUUUCGUCUUUUAUUUCGAUCUUUUUUUUCUUCUUCUCCUUCUCUCUCUCUCUCUCUAUUUUUUUUUUUUUUUUCUUCUUCUCUGCUAUUUCAUUUCCCGCACAAAUCUAUGUAUAAUAUAAAUGUUAAUUUCGCAACUGUUUGAUCGAUAAACGAAGCUCAAUUCGCGACACACAUUAUCACCAACAGCUAAGUAUAUUAAUGUUUGUUUCUGUAAACGUUGUUGUUGUUUUUUUUUUUUUCUGGUUUUUGUUUUUCGAUCUGCUACUCACCGUACUGAUCAGUGUGCUGAAACUGGACGUUCUCCUGCUUCGCCAUAUACCUGCAACAAAGGCAACGAUGUUGCUGAUGAUGGUUGUUACAGUUGAGUCGUGGUGAACGACGAGACAGACGGUGCAGAAGGAAACGAACAAGUCGUGGUAGCAAAUGCUGAUGGCAAACGCGUGUUUCUGCGGUGCUGCGGGGCGAUGAGAAACGGUCAAGACGGACGACAUACUGGUGGGAGUUGAUCGCGGCUAAACUUUAAUGGUUUGCUACUGUUGCUACUAUACUGCUACUGCUGCUGCUGCUGCUGCUGCUGCUGCUGCUGCUGCUGCUAGUUGACCAAAGGGGAAUAAGAAGAAAAAAAAAGUAGAAGAAGCAAAAACUCUACUCUUAUCAAAUAACAGAAAGACCCCCCUACUACUACUACUACUACUACAUCAUCGGGUCGCGAUGGUCAACCCUAGACCGAGUUGUAUUAUAACCGCUUUUGCUGCCGCUAUACCGCUGCGAUGACGACGACGACGAUGAUGAUGAUUCUGGACUCGUUCGCAGGAGAAAUAAAAUAAAAUAAAAUCGUAGUAUUAACAUGGAAUGUUUAGGUGGAUCGUCGCAUGUUGCUAUGGAACUAAAUGAAAACGAUUUAUGAUAAUAUUAUGGAUUCUGUUUUAGCCGCGGUAAGAAUGAAUGAAAUUCUGACGUUGUGAUUGCGAGCGUGGAAUUAUUUAAACUAUAGUUGUAUAAUAUAAGAAUGAUGGAAUGAAAAACCUUUGUGACGUAGUUAAUUAUUGUUAUUAAGAACUUGCAGACCAGACUGUAUAGCAAGAGUAUCGUAUUUCAAAUUACUAUACUAUAAUAUACGUAUGCAUACGUUGUAUUGAAAUGAAGAAUGAUAAAAAGAAAUUGCUCGACCAUAA